rnacentral:tRNA from 1 species
GAGGCUAUAGUUCAAAGUGGUAGAGCACAUGCUUUGCAUGCAUGAGAUCCUAGGUUCAAUCCCCAGUACCUCCU